AUUGAACGCUGGCGGCAUGCCUUACACAUGCAAGUCGAACGGUAACAGGUCUUCGGAUGCUGACGAGUGGCGAACGGGUGAGUAAUACAUCGGAACGUGCCCGAUCGUGGGGGAUAACGAGGCGAAAGCUUUGCUAAUACCGCAUACGAUCUACGGAUGAAAGCGGGGGAUCUUCGGACCUCGCGCGGACGGAGCGGCCGAUGGCAGAUUAGGUAGUUGGUGGGAUAAAAGCUUACCAAGCCGACGAUCUGUAGCUGGUCUGAGAGGAUGAUCAGCCACACUGGGACUGAGACACGGCCCAGACUCCUACGGGAGGCAGCAGUGGGGAAUUUUGGACAAUGGGCGAAAGCCUGAUCCAGCCAUGCCGCGUGCAGGAUGAAGGCCUUCGGGUUGUAAACUGCUUUUGUACGGAACGAAAAGCCUUCUUCUAAUACAGGAGGGUCAUGACGGUACCGUAAGAAUAAGCACCGGCUAACUACGUG
rnacentral:rRNA from 1 species